CCGCUCACUUGCAGUGUCAUGGU
rnacentral:miRNA from 1 species